UCCAACCCCGAUCUGGACUCAUUCCAGAUCUGAUCCCCCCGGCUUCAUCCACUAGGUCCAACUGCCAAUGUGCUGACCCCUAAGCCCGACCAUCCCUGUCAUACUUUCUGACACCGCUCCUUGCCUCUCUCAGGUCAUGCCUUUGGCCUUAUUUUCAGAAGCACUAAAGGCAAUGGGUGCUGCAGGUGAAAAAUCUGGCCAGAACGACCCAACGUUGUGCCUUCCUUCCUUUGGAGAACAGAUUCAAUGUCAUGGGAAGUCAGGGAAAGACGAAUUGUUCCCGGAGAUGCAGCCGCGCUAACCAUUUGUUUGACACACGGGCUGUUUUCAAAGGUCAUUCCAUGGCCAGUCGUAGCCAUCUGUUUUUUUUUUUUUUGCAGGAUGAGAGAUUGAAAUAGAAAUCAUUGCUGAAAUGGAAGUGUGUGUUAGUGAUAGAGUGACCCUUCCACAGUUCAGUGUGCUGUGACCUUCAUUAAUUUAGAAGUAGCAAGGUCCUGGGUUGAUACCAAGAGGGAAGGGGGCAGCUGGAGUCAUCUCAAGGAGUCGCAGCAGAGGGGCGGGGCCAGGCCAUUUCACACCCAUCCUUCCUGACUUAUUCCUCCACAACAGGCCUUUCAAACGGGGGCACGGCAUGCAGGCGAGAUCCUGCAACUCAGACACCUAAAAAAUUUCGACUGAAGAUGCGGAUCCCCUUGGAAGCACCCAGGGGUCCGCAGACCACAGACUGAAAACCACUGGUUUAGAGUCAAUGGAAGCGCUCUGAGCUCAAGAGUACGAAACUGACUUGAUCUGUGAAGUCCAUCAGCUCAGUAGAGUCGAUCCACAGCUGAGGAGCUCCUGAGAAUCCAGACUGGCCUGGCCUUUAAAAACAGGCAUUUCCGGGGCUUCUGAAAAGAGGAUGGUCUUGUGGUUAAGACACUGGACUGGGACUCUGAUGCUCAGCUCUCCAUGUGACCUUAGCCAAGUCACUUAGUCUCUCUGUGCCUCAGGGCUGCUGACAGGUGCUGGGUUGACAGCGCUGGACAAUGGAGCCUUCUGAUUGUCUGCAGAGCAGGUACUGCACAGCUGGAAAAAAACAGUCCUUCCGUGCUUGCUGUCCGUGCAUGCUGAAAUGGAACAGCUGUCAGCCUUUGUGCAAGGAACCCUGACAACGAGGACCUUUGGGAUGCAGGGAGGCACCACAUGACAUUCCUUUCAGGGCCAAUCUCCGCAGCCCAGGUUUUCGUAGACCACAGGGAGCCCUACUGGGGUUUGCAGAGGUCACUGAGGAAGGCACAGCUGUGAUGAGACAUAAGGGGCCAAGAAUGCCUUUAAGCGGAUGAUGGAC